rnacentral:rRNA from 2 species
UCUGGUGACUAUAGCAAGGAGGUCACACCUGUUACCAUGCCGAACACAGAAGUUAAGCUCCUUAGCGUCGAUGGUAGUCGAACUUACGUUCCGCUAGAGUAGAACGUUGCCAGGC